CCUCAAAUCAUUAAAACCAACCUCAAUUCACUCAUACUUUCCCAAUUCUCACAAAAUUUCAUAUAUAAUGCACACCAACUGUUCGACAAAACAACAAUAUUUGCAACCAAGCUUCAGGAGGAUAAUAUUUGAUGCUGGUGAUGAAUGAAAAGUAGUAUAAAUGAGAACAUGGUGAUAUACAACUUAGAACAAGGACCAUUUAAUGAUAUCUCAUGGCUUCGUAGCUCAUGGCAUUCCAAAUAAAAUUGGUAUCGUCAGCCUUGUUGAGUUGCAGGGAGCUUCAAUUCAUAGAGAGACUUGUAAAUAAUCCCACAUUCAAUGCUACUAGUAAUAUCUUGUGAUCAGGUGAAAAUUCAAUCUUAACUUCUUCCUUUUCCAUGUAGUGGUACUUGUUGUGUGAAAAUUUCAUCAUACACCCGGUCAAAAUACAUGAGUUAUAAAAAAUCAAAAUGAUUCUCCUCU